rnacentral:lncRNA from 1 species
GGACAGUGAUGGAAGCUGGGGGGACUCCAGCCGUCCUGGCCUCUGGGGGCUCCUGCCAGGGCGCAGGGUGCGGGGACAGCCUGGUCUGCAUAGCUGCGAGUCUGAGGACCUCUUCAGGAAGACUUGUGGGGUCAGAGGCUGCACGGUCCGUGAGGGGGGCGGCAGCCGUGAGGUUCGGGAUCACAGGACAAGGGCCGUGGGGUGUCCGGCAUGGGCAUUGGAGACCGCGAUGGAGUCAGGUUCUGCUGGACAUGGACCAGAAGUCCCCAGUUCAGUUCUGAGCACGUGGGUGAGGGGACUCCUGGGGGGCCGCCAGGGGCUCCGAGGAGAUGUGGGCUCGGGAGCUGUGAUGGCUGGGCUGUGUCCCCCACAAAUCCACAUGCUGAAGUCCCACCCCCACGACCUCAGGAUGUGACUGCAUAAAGGGGUCUUUAAUGAGGGUGUCAAGGUAAAGCGAGGUUGUUGGGGUGGACCCUGAUCCAGUCCCAUGGGUGACACAAUACGAAGAGGCGAUCAGGGAGGAAAAGGCCCCGGAGAGCGGCUUUGAGAGUGACGACCGCCCGUGAUGACCGGCCUGUGAUAACUGGCUGGUGAUAACUGGCUCGUGAUGACCGGCCCAUGAUGACUGGCCCGUGAUAACUGGCUCGUGAUGACCACCCGUGAUGACCGCCCGUGAUGACCGGCCCGUGAUAACUGGCUGGUGAUAACUGGCUCGUGAUGACCACCCGUGAUGACCGCCCGUGAUGACCGGCCGUGAUAACUGGCUGGUGAUAACUGGCUCGUGAUGACCAGCCCGUGAAGGACAAGGAAGAGGGAUGGCUGCUCAGAUGCCGGGGCCUGCAGUGCUGAUGAGGGUGUGCCUGGGCCACAUCGCCAUGGAGGACGGGAGGGGCCUGUUCGUUUCUAGAGGGACACGCCGGCCACCCGGAUGCAGAUACCACGUCCUCACGGAUGCGCACACGUUGCUUAGACACCAUCACGUGAGCCUUUUGAGCUUUGAAGGUUGAGAACAUAUUCCUAAGAACACACAUCAGCG